UACGAAGGGGGCUAGCGUUGCUCGGAAUCACUGGGCGUAAAGGGUGCGUAGGCGGGUCUUUAAGUCAGGGGUGAAAUCCUGGAGCUCAACUCCAGAACUGCCUUUGAUACUGAAGAUCUUGAGUCCGGAAGAGGUAAGUGGAACUGCGAGUGUAGAGGUGAAAUUCGUAGAUAUUCGGAAGAACACCAGUGGCGAAGGCGGCUCACUGGCCCGGUACUGACGCUGAGGUGCGAAAGCGUGGGGAGCAAACAGG
rnacentral:rRNA from 1 species